AGAGUUUGAUCCUGGCUCAGAAUCAACGCUGGCGGCGUGCCUAACACAUGCAAGUCGAGCGAGAAAAGGGGGGCAACUCCCUGAGUACAGCGGCGCACGGGUGAGUAACACGUGGGUAAUCUGCCCUGGAGUGGGGAAUAACACCGGGAAACCGGUGCUAAUACCGCAUACGAUCACGAGGUCUGCGGACUUUGUGAUGAAAGGAGCAAUUCGCUCUAGGAGGAGCCCGCGGCUGAUUAGCUAGUUGGUGAGGUAAUGGCUCACCAAGGCUACGAUCAGUAUCCGGUCUGAGAGGACGGUCGGACACACUGGAACUGAGACACGGUCCAGACUCCUACGGGAGGCAGCAGUGGGGAAUUUUUCGCAAUGGGGGCAACCCUGACGAAGCAACGCCGCGUGGGUGAUGAAGUCUCUUGGGACGUAAAACCCUUUCGACGGGGAAGAAAACCGCAAGGUUUGACGGUACCCGUAGAAGAAGCCCCGGCUAACUCCGUGCCAGCAGCCGCGGUAAUACGGGGGGGGCAAGCGUUGUUCGGAAUUACUGGGCGUAAAGGGUGCGUAGGCGGUUCGUUAAGUUGGAUGUGAAAACUCUGGGCUCAACCCAGAGCCUGCAUCCAAAACUGGCGGGCUAGAGUUCUGGAGGGGGUAGUGGAAUUCCUGGUGUAGCGGUGAAAUGCGUAGAUAUCAGGAGGAACACCGGUGGCGAAGGCGGCUACCUGGACAGAAACUGACGCUGAGGCACGAAAGCUAGGGGAGCAAACAGGAUUAGAUACCCUGGUAGUCCUAGCCCUAAACGAUGGAUACUUGGUGUGACCGGGAUUGAAUCCGGUCGUGCCGAAGCUAACGCAUUAAGUAUCCCGCCUGGGGAGUACGGUCGCAAGGCUGAACUCAAGGAAUUGACGGGGCCCGCACAGCGGUGAGUAUGUGGUUUAAUUCGACGCAACGCGAGAACUUACCUGGCUCGAACGGCUAGUGACAGGUGGCG
rnacentral:rRNA from 1 species